UCCGGUUUGUCACCGGCAGUCUCGUAUGAGUCCCCAACUAAAUGCUGGCAACAUACGACGGGGGUUGCGCUCGUUGCGGGACUUAACCCAACAUCUCACGGCACGAGCUGACGACAGCCAUGCAGCAUCUGCGCACGCUCCCUUGCGGGUCCUUCCGGUUUCCCGGUUGUACCACGUGCAUGUCAAGCCCAGGUAAGGUUCUUCGCGUUGCGUCGAAUUAAACCACACGCUCCGCUGCUUGUGCGGGCCCCCGUCAAUUCCUUUGAGUUUUAAUCUUGCGACCGUACUCCCCAGGCGGCGUGCUUCAUGCGUUAGCGACGACACCGAAGGGCAAGCCCCCCAACGUCUAGCACGCAUCGUUUACGGCGUGGACUAC
rnacentral:misc_RNA from 1 species